rnacentral:pre_miRNA from 1 species
AUCAUACUCCCUCCGUUCAAAAUUACUUGUCAUAAAAAUGGAUGUAUCUACAACUAAAAUGCAUCUAGAUACAUUCAUUUUUUGGACGAGUAAUUCCGAACGGAGGGAGUACAUG